rnacentral:misc_RNA from 1 species
UUUCCGUAGGUGAACCUGCGGAAGGAUCAUUACCACAAAUUAUCAAAAUAUUUUUCGCGAACCAUAUGGAACAAGAACAUUGUCGUUAAUUCGAUAAUGCCAUUUUUGAAAUAUUCAAACUUUUUCAUUUUUCCAGAAUUUUGUAAAAAUGUUAAAACUUUUAGCGAUGGAUGUCUAGGUUCUC